UACGGGGGGAGCAAGCGUUGUUCGGAUUUACUGGGCGUAAAGGGCGCGUAGGCGGCCACCGCAAGUCGACUGUGAAAUCUCCGGGCUUAACCCGGAAAGGUCAGCCGAUACUGCGGGGCUAGAGUACAGAAGGGGCAACUGGAAUUCUCGGUGUAGCGGUGAAAUGCGUAGAUAUCGAGAGGAACACCUGCGGCGAAGGCGGGUUGCUGGGCUGAUACUGACGCUGAGGCGCGAAAGCCAGGGAGCGAACGGG
rnacentral:rRNA from 1 species